rnacentral:rRNA from 1 species
AUUGAACGCUGGCGGCAGGCCUAACACAUGCAAGUCGAACGAGUGGCGGACGGGUGAGUAAUGUCUGGGAAACUGCCUGAUGGAGGGGGAUAACUACUGGAAACGGUAGCUAAUACCGCAUACCAUCAGCUGUGCCCAGCUGGGAUUAGCUAGUUGGUGGGGUAACGGCUCACCAAGGCGACGAUCCCUAGCUGGUCUGAGAGGAUGACAAGCCAAACUGGAACUGAGACACGGGCCAGACUCCUACGGGAGGCAGCAGUGGGGAAUAUUGCACAUUGGGCGCAAGCCUGAUGAAGCAAUGCCGCGUGUAGGAAGAAGGCCUUCGGGUUGUAAAGUACUGUAAGCGGGGAGGCGGUACCCGCAGAAAAAGCAACGGCUAACUCCGUGCCAGCAGCCGCGGUAAUAC